CUGCGAAGAUGGCGGAGUAAGGCGUGCCGCUGCAAACUGGCCUCUGGGCCGGGGGCGAGCAGCCCCCGGGAGGCCGAGUGCAUCUGUUGGACCGUGCGAGGUGAGCCGAGAAGGCCAGUGACGGAGAAGAAAAAAAAUAUCGGCCAGAGGAGAGGAACUAACCGAACAUUCUUCCUCCCUACCUUAUAGAGGGGAGUGGUCAUCUACACUAAAGCAAAGUGUUAGGCGCGUCCGUGCGAAGAGACCACCAAACAGGCUUUGUGUUCCUUAUCACAGGAAGAAAAUUUUCCUUGACCUUUAGGUGCUUUUAUAUUCAUCUCAAAAACAAAAUUCUGAACUCAGGACUUGGCAAGUGUCUCUAUGUUGUCUCCUAGAGUGGGUAGUCCUGCUUCUUUUACCCAGUUACUUUCCCGUUUUUGAAAUGUGGCUAUCACUUCUCUACACAUUACCUCCAUGAUUUGGAAUGGAAAAGGCCACUUUUCUUUUUGUUCUGCCUCUCAAAUUCAACACAGAGGAGCUCCUAGGAUUCCAGUUAUCCUGCUAACAUCUCCAGGAAGAAAGAAGCAACUCACAUGGGUCUUUUGCUGUUUGCUUAAUUAUAAAGACAUCAUUUUGCAAGCAGAAGGCUGAGUUUCAUUUGAAACAGGUGCUUAGGUGGUGGUAUUUGUGAAUACUUUUCAUUCCAAGCAAGAAGACUAAAGAAGUAGCAAGUAUGAAUGACUUCAGGGUUUAAAAAAAAUGUCUUCCAGUUUCAGCCACUACCAUGAUAAGCACAGUUGAGACUGCAGCAGUAAAUUCCAAAUAUGUGUUUCUAAUUUGACGUGAAAGAUACUAAAAAUUUAUAUUUGUAUAUUUAAAUCCUGGCUCAUCCUGUGACAUAGAUUUACUGAAUAGGAACAAAGGCCCAAUUUUAAACAAAAACCUAGGCCGGGUGUGGUGGCUCACACCUGUAAUCCCAACACUUUGGGAGGCCAAGGCAGGCAAAUCACCUGAGGUUGGGAGUUUGAGACCAGCCUGACCAACAUGGAGAAACCCCAUCUCUACUAAAAAUAGAAAAUUAGCCAGGUGUGGUGGUAGAUACGUGUAAUCCCAGCUACUCGUGAGGCUGAGGCAGGAGAAUUGCUUGAAUCCGGGAGGCGGAGGUUGCAGUGAACUGAGAUUGCACCACUGCACUCCAGCCUGGGCGACAGAGUGAGACUCCGUCUCAGAAAAAUAAAAAACAACUUUGGACAUAGAGGAGUUGGGGGCAGAGGGGGGAGGAUGAGAGAAUUUUCCAUGUAACUCCUUUUCCUUAAGAAAAAGAAGCAAAAAUCCCUCAUGCAGUGCCAUCUGACUUUAUGGUGUUUCACAUUAUAUAGUUACUUUUUUUAAUAAACGCAUAAGAUUAACUCUUCCUGCAA
rnacentral:lncRNA from 1 species